rnacentral:tRNA from 1 species
CAAGAAAUAGCUUAAAUAAAGCGAUUUAUUUACAUUAAAAGGAUAUUAAAAAAUUUUCUUGA